GCGGUUUGCCGGGAUAAAGGGUCAAACUUUAAAAUAAAACAAGGUAGCACGUUUGUUUGUAGCCGGCACUUUAGUGAAUCAGACUACACUAACGCUACAGCUAGCAACCAACCGGUGUCACAUCAAGCGACUGAAAAUUGGGUAUGUACCCUCCCGUUUCCAGUGAAACAACUGGGGACUGCCUAGAAGGGAGUCUGUUUAUCAAAGAGCAUCAACUCGCUUGGGCCAUGACGUUCACCCAGCCAUUCCUCUGGAGCAACCGCUGCCGUGUGAAUGAGAGCCGAUGGAGGAGAUCGCAGCUUCGGUGGUGAUGACAGAACAUGAUUUCGGUUCUGCUCCUAAACCAGGUGCACUGGAUGCUGCUGCUGCACGCAUACAGCAAUUGGAAGAAACAGUCAAGGAGCUGACGAGAGCUGUCACAGCUGAAAGUGGGUCAAGUGCCUUUUCACAGAUUUUGUGUCUCAGACAAGGACAUCCUUUUUUACACCAGAUUCACAUCAAGAGAUUUUUUGUGACUUCUGUGAGGCUAUUCAACCAUCUGCCUCCAUGUUGGUUUAUUGGUCGAAAGCUCAGAAAAAGAAACAAAACAUUUGAACCCAUUUCUCCCAGUCCAACGCGUAGACUGCAACUGGUUGAGUUUUUUCUCUUCUGCUGCCGGGUUGCUGCAGGCCUGCAAGAGAAGGUGCAGGCUGACAUGUUUCAGGUCAGUGUGUCCACUGUCUCCCAUGUUGUUAUAACGUGGGCCAACUACCGUUACCUGCUCCUUGGCUCCCUCCCCAUCUGGAUGAGUAAACAGCAAGUCAAGAACACCAUGCCAAGCAAAUUUGUGCAGUACAGUCCAGAUGUUCGGGUAAUCAUCGACUGCACCAAGCUGAUAGCAGAAUCCAUCAUCCCUCACCCUCCAAUCUGAGGUUUUCUCAUCUUACAAUAACACAACAACCUUUAAGGCCUUGAUUGGGAUUGCCCCUUGUAGUGCUGUGACUUUUGUGUCAAGUCUCUUCACCGGCUCCAUCUCCGACCGAGAGCUGACUGAACGAAGUGGACUGCUGGAUUUACUGGAGCCAGGAGAUGGCUGCAUGGCAGACAAGGGUUUCACCAUCGAGAAGCCACUAGCUGAUCGUGGGGCAACGCUGAUUAUACCACCCUUCAAGAUGACAGGUAGGCAUGAAAGGAAUGAACAUUUCAAAUUAAAACUGUGACCCAAAUGUGACCAUUAAGAUAUGUAGACAAAUGUUUAAGAUGGACUGAAGCACUCACAAUAAUCGUAUCCCUAACCAUUGCGCAGUUCACCGAAGAGGAUGCUCUGAAAACACAAGCAAUCGCCCGACUUCGAAUCCUCGUGGAAAGAGCAAUACGCCGAGUCAAGGAAUACCGCAUCUGGGAACGCACUGUCCUCUCACCUUGUCUGGGACAGUCAACCAGCUGUGGACCGUCUGCUGUGUGAUGACCAACUUCCAGGGACCACUGGAUUUCAAAGGCUACAUCCCUGUUGAAUAGUGUUUCUACUCAAACAUGUACCUAUAAAUAUUAAAUAUAAUAUAUAAAUAUUAAAACGAGAGACACUGAACAUUUGGAGUGGUCCCUUCAUUUUUUCCGGAGCUGUAAUUCUGUAUACUGAAAACAUUGUAUAUAUCGAAUGACAUGUAUGUAAUUGAAUGA
rnacentral:lncRNA from 1 species